GUCGAACGGUACAGGAAGCAGCUUGCUUCUUUGCUGACGAGUGGCGGACGGGUGAGUAAUGUCUGGGAAACUGCCUGAUGGAGGGGGAUAACUACUGGAAACGGUAGCUAAUACCGCAUAACGUCGCAAGACCAAAGAGGGGGACCUUCGGGCCUCUUGCCAUCGGAUGUGCCCAGAUGGGAUUAGCUUGUUGGUGGGGUAACGGCUCACCAAGGCGACGAUCCCUAGCUGGUCUGAGAGGAUGACCAGCCACACUGGAACUGAGACACGGUCCAGACUCCUACGGGGAGGCAGCAGUGGGGGAAUAUUGCACAAUGGGCGCAAGCCUGAUGCAGCCAUGCCCGCGUGGUAUGAAGAAAGGCCUUCGGGUUGUAAAAGUACUUUCAGCGGGGGAGGAAGGGGAAUUAAAGUUUAAUACCUUUUGCUCAUUGACCUUUACCCCCCAAAAAAACCACCGGCU
rnacentral:rRNA from 1 species